CUCAGAGUGAUCAUCCAAGAGGGUGAUGUCGAAACUGAUGUGGUCAGCGUUUAUAUUGACUUGUUGAAGUCUGACGCGGGAAAGCUAAAAGCUAAAGUGGGAUUUCUCCGUGUAGACGCAGCGUACUAUGCGAUAAAUCAUGAGCUGAAGAAGGAAGCAGGUGAAGACACCGGACCGUUUGAGUGUGGUGUCGAAACAAUUUUGAUUGAACCACUUUGGUCGAUCU